CAAUAGCGUAUAUUAAAGUUGUUGCAGUUAAAAAGCUCGUAGUUGGAUUUCUGGUCGGAAGCUCCUGUCCUCUGAUGAGCGUACAAGUGCGUCCUACCAUCCUUCUGUUAACCUUUAAGGCUUUCGCGGCUUUCUAGGGGCUCAGAUAUUUUACCUUGAGAAAAUUAGAGUGUUUCAGGCAGGCUAGCGCCGGAAUACAUUAGCAUGGAAUAAUGGAAUAGGACUUUUGCCUCUUCUGUUGGUCAUGAGGCUCGAGUAAUGAUUAAUAGGGAUAGUUGGGGGCAUUGGUACUUAACUGUCAGAGGUGAAAUUCUCGGAUUUGUUAAAGACUAACUUAUGCGAAAGCAUUUGCCAAGGAUGUUUUCAUUAA
rnacentral:rRNA from 1 species